rnacentral:rRNA from 1 species
AUUGAACGCUGGCGGCAGGCCUAACACAUGCAAGUCGAGCGGAGCGGCGGACGGGUGAGUAAUGCCUAGGAAUCUGCCUGGUAGUGGGGGAUAACGUCCGGAAACGGGCGCUAAUACCGCAUACUAUCAGAUGAGCCUAGGUAGGCGUAGCUAGUUGGUGGGGUAAAGGCCUACCAAGGAGACGAUCCGUAACUGGUCUGAGAGGAUGAUCAGUCACACUGGAACGUAGACACGGUCCAGACUCCUGUGGGAGGCAGCAUUGGGGAAUAUUGGACAAUGGGCAAGAGCCUGAUCCAGCCAUGCCGCGUUUGUUAAGAAUGUCUUCGGAUUUUAAAGCACUUUAAGUUGGGAGGCGUUACCAACAGAAUAAGCACCGGCUAACUUCGUGCCAGCAGCCGCGGUAAUUC